CCAGCCUCCCUGCGCACCUGUAAAGGACUCGGUACUCGCUCGGACCUCGCCUCACCUCCACCUCCAGCUUAUCCCCGCCUGCGAACACUGACCCUGGUCUGCCACAGUUUCCACCUGCCCCACUCCAGCCCUCAGCAGUUUAGUGACCUGACAGUUCCAUGCUUAGCCUAAGCCCAGCACUUCACAGACACCACGCUUGUGCACAAAGUUUAAUCUUGUUUUUGUCUUGAGUAUCUAAGUUAGGAAUUCUUGUAAAUAAAAGUUUUUGCAAAUCA